rnacentral:rRNA from 1 species
UACGAAGGGGGCUAGCGUUGCUCGGAAUCACUGGGCGUAAAGGGUGCGUAGGCGGGUCUUUAAGUCAGGGGUGAAAUCCUGGAGCUCAACUCCAGAACUGCCUUUGAUACUGAGGAUCUUGAGUUCGGGAGAGGUGAGUGGAACUGCGAGUGUAGAGGUGAAAUUCGUAGAUAUUCGCAAGAACACCAGUGGCGAAGGCGGCUCACUGGCCCGAUACUGACGCUGAGGAACGAAAGCGUGGGGAGCAAACAGGG